GACGAACGCUGGCGGCGUGCUUAACACAUGCAAGUCGAACGGAAAGGCCCUGCUUUUGUGGGGUGCUCGAGUGGCGAACGGGUGAGUAACACGUGAGUAAUCUGCCCUUGACUUUGGGAUAACUUCAGGAAACUGGGGCUAAUACCGGAUAGGAGCUCCUGCUGCAUGGUGGGGGUUGGAAAGUUUCGGCGGUUGGGGAUGGACUCGCGGCUUAUCAGCUUGUUGGUGGGGUAGUGGCUUACCAAGGCUUUGACGGGUAGCCGGCCUGAGAGGGUGACCGGACACAUUGGGACUGAGAUACGGCCCAGACUCCUACGGGAGGCAGCAGUGGGGAAUAUUGCACAAUGGGCGGAAGCCUGAUGCAGCAACGCCGCGUGCGGGAUGACGGCCUUCGGGUUGUAAACCGCUUUCGCCUGUGACGAAGCGUGAGUGACGGUAAUGGGUAAAGAAGCACCGGCUAACUACGUG
rnacentral:rRNA from 1 species